GGGGUGCUUCAGGUGGCAGCGGCCCAUCAGUGCUGUCUUCAGGAGCUCUCGGCCGUCCUGGACUUUCUCCAGGAGCAUGUGAACAAGUUCAGCCAGACAUGACUAGAAGCAGUCCAGAAAUAUCCUAUGGACAGAAGGGAUAAGGGCAAGGUUGCUGUUUGGGGGCUUUGGACUCAUUCCCAUCUGCUGUCAAGGCAUCUCCAGCAGGAAUAGCAUGUAAAGUGAAGGAGCUCUGAGUGGUUUUAAAGUGGUGCCAUUUCGGCAGAAGGAGAACUGGGAUGGACGCUGAGAGGGAAGGAUGGGAGCCAGGACCCACGCAGCCCACAUCCCGCGGAGCUGCUGCAUGCCGUGAUGUCUCGCCGCACCAGCCUCCGUCCUUGUUUCACCUCUCUCCUGUAGGAAUGCCCUGAAAGCUGAAGGGAAAGGCUGGGCCCGUACCUAUGAAAGAGGGUGUUUCCAAUCUGUUGUCAGAUUGGUUCCUGGCAGCCUGAGCACAAGCCACUGGCGGCUAGAUAGCUUCAUGCAAGAUUAAUGAAGCACAAGCUCCUGCUGCAGGUAGAGCGAGACUCGUGUGAUGCCAGGAAGGCGAUCGGGCAGGAGCCAGAAGAGAGAUGAAGUUUAGUUCUUAUCCUUUUCUUUCUGUUCUCCUACAAGAGGAACAACCAGAGAUGUAAGCUUCAGUAGUUGAAAGGAGAACUUGGCACAGGAAAUAACCAAAUACAAUAUCUCAUGUUAAUCAAAAACCUGUGAUAAAAGAACAGUACAGCCUGUUACUCAUAAUUACUCCUAUCUUGAACUAUGGAGGCUAACAAUAUCCAAAACAGCAAUUUUAACUCCAGAACAGUGAGCCAUCACAAUAUGCAGCACAGUAGGAGACAGAACUGCUCACUGCCUGCCAGCUCCGUCCCUACUUCUGCAUUUCUUACAUGAAUAUUGUACCUUCUAUUGCCACACAUCGGCCCCUCAUCUACCAGUCCUCUGCUCUUCCCACAGCCGGUGGGGGGCCGGUGUCCAUGCUGAGGCAGAACACAGACACCACUUCAAGCCAAAGCUGUGCACGAAGAACAUCUUUCUCCUCGGGGAGCAGCUGGUAGUGGAAAAUGCCAAAGAAAAGCAGCUCCAGAUAUUUCCCUUCUGGGUUUGCAGCACUCACCCAGAAACCUAAAUAUCAACGUUGCUGGUAACAGCUUGCUAACACAAAGAAGAAACCAGUGAUCAAAGAUCUUGCAGUGGAAGAAAUGUGAUGUACUUUGAAUUAUUCUGCACAGAACACAAUCUUCAAAACCAUCAUUUUUGUCUCUACUUGAAAAUUACAGUCUCUGCUUUUGAAUUAUUAGAUGAAGAAACAAGAACCAGCAUUUGUGUGAUGACUGAGAGAUUUCUCUACAAUGUACAAAAUGAAAAUUCAUUACAGACAUAAUGCAACAACAAAGAAAGCAAAUGUACAGACUUGGGUAAAUGGAAAACACAUUCAGCAAAAAGAAACGUUGUGUAUUUAGUGGAAAAUGACACGGUAAGGUGUCUCUGCACACCUCAAAUGAGGACUGUGUUAAUUCCUUUUGGAGCUGGUUUGUUCCUCUAGUUUGGUAGCAGUGGUACUUCACCUGGUAACAGUGGCACUCGUUCUGAAACCCUGCAUGGUCCUUACAGAAAAUACGAGCACACGGCAGUGCAGUAGUGGUGACAGAUGGCAA